CAACUACUCCCUCCGUCCCAAAUUUCUUGUCUUAGAUUUUUCUAGAUACGGAUGUAUCUAAUACUAAAAUGUUACUUGAUACAUCCGUAUCUAGACAAAUCUAAGACAAGAAUUUUGGGACGGAGGGAGUAAUUU
rfam:Triticum aestivum genome assembly, contig: Triticum_aestivum_CS42_TGACv1_scaffold_133101_2BL